rnacentral:rRNA from 1 species
CCCUUAGAUGUUCUGGGCCGCACGCGCGCUACACUGAUGCAUUCAACGAGUCUAAAACCUGGUCUGAUAGGGCUGGGUAAUCUUUUGAAUGUGCAUCGUGAUUGGGAUAGAUGAUUGCAAUUCUUCAUCUUCAACGAGGAAUGCCUAGUAAACGCAAGUCAUCAGCUUGCAUUGAUUACGUCCCUGCCCUUUGUACACACCGCCCGUCGCUCCUACCGAUUGAAUGUUCCGAUGAAUACCAUGGACUGAGAGUAUGAAUGGGUUCGCCUAUUUCUGCUUCUCGGGAAGUGGAGGAAAUCUUAACAUUUAGAGGAAGGAGAAGUCGUAACA